AUUGAACGCUGGCGGCAGGCCUAACACAUGCAAGUCGAGCGGAUGAAGGGAGCUUGCUCCUGGAUUCAGCGGCGGACGGGUGAGUAAUGCCUAGGAAUCUGCCUGGUAGUGGGGGAUAACGUCCGGAAACGGGCGCUAAUACCGCAUACGUUCUGAGGGAGAAAGUGGGGGAUCUUCGGACCUCACGCUAUCAGAUGAGCCUAGGUCGGAUUAGCUAGUUGGUGGGGUAAAGGCCUACCAAGGCGACGAUCCGUAACUGGUCUGAGAGGAUGAUCAGUCACACUGGAACUGAGACACGGUCCAGACUCCUACGGGAGGCAGCAGUAGGGAAUAUUGGACAAUGGGCGAAAGCCUGAUCCAGCCAUGCCGCGUGUGUGAAGAAGGUCUUCGGAUUGUAAAGCACUUUAAGUUGGGAGGAAGAGCAGUAAGUUAAUACCUUGCUGUUUUGACGUUACCAACAGAAUAAGCACCGGCUAACUUCGUG
rnacentral:rRNA from 1 species